CAGUCGCCACGGUAAUACGGAGGAUCCAAGCGUUAUCCGGAAUCAUUGGGUUUAAAGGGUCCGUAGGCGGUCUUGUAAGUCAGUGGUGAAAGCCCAUCGCUCAACGGUGGAACGGCCAUUGAUACUGCAGGACUUGAAUUAUUGGGAAGUAACUAGAUUAUGUAGUGUAGCGGUGAAAUGCUUAGAGAUUACAUGGAAUACCAAUUGCGAAGGCAGGUUACUACCAAUUGAUUGACGCUGAUGGACGAAAGCGUGGUUAGCGAACAGGAUUAGAUACCCCGGUAGUCCCUGUCUCUUAUAC
rnacentral:rRNA from 1 species